rnacentral:tRNA from 2 species
GGAAGACCGACGCCAGAGGCUGGCGGCCCGUUUCGAAAACGGUGCGGGUGCAUGACGCGCUCGGGGUUCGAGUCCCCUGUCUUCCG